UUUGCAUUCUUCCUCAGUUACUCAGCUGCCAAAAGCUGCCUCUGGAACCCUGCCUUUCCACGGAACUAUUAAGUGUACUGGGUCAGUGACUGAUAGAGCUGGUUUGUUUGCCUGUGAUAGAGAUAACACCUGCGGAGAGCCCAGCACUCCCCAGGCUCUGGGAUUUCAAUGUUUGCCCAGAGACAGAUGGUGCCCUGAAUCCCUUAGGACAAGAAGAGAGCAGAGCAGAAGAAGUGAGUAAAGCAGACUCUCUGGCCGGCACCGGAGCCACCACCAACUGGUGCACGUGCCAGACCCAGGCGUGAGCAAGACAGAAAACGCCCCGCUGCAGGAGUUUAUAGUCUGCUGGGAGAACGAGACCGGUCCAGCCUCCAUCCACCCACCCAUGGCCCCAGCGCCUGCAACAGUCCCUGAGCACCUGCUCACUCACAAGCUUCAGGAGGUGAGGGCAGGACGUGCAGGGCCCGCACUUUCCGUGCCAGUGUGGGGCACUGCCGUAGACAAGACUAAAGGGGCAACUUCAGUAAUGAUAAGGGCUCUGAAGACUGUGGGAAAACGGUUCCUCAAAAGGUUAAAUUACCAUAUGACCCAGAAAUUCCACUCCUAGGUAAAUACGCCAGAGGACGAAAAUAGGUGUUUAAACAAAAACUUGCACCUGCACACGCAGAGCGACACUGCUCACAUUCGCCAAAAGGUGGAAACACCCACACGGCCACCGACGGAUGAAAGAAUGGACACACCAAGUGUGGUCCAUCCAGAGAAUGGGCUAUUAGUCAGCCACGACGAGGAAUGCAGCUCUGAUACACACUGCGACAUGAAGGAACCCCGAAAACACGAGGCCAAGGGAAAGAAGCUGCACACAAAAGGCCGCUGAUUGUCUGAUUUCUAUGGAGUGUCCACAACAGCCCCCAUCAGGGAGGACCAGCGAGCGGCAACCAGCCUGGCUGACCAUUCGCAUCCCUGUAACGCUCUCCCUAUUGUUUGGAUAAGAAUUAGGAAGGGCCGGGAGAGGACCUGAGCGAGUGAGGGUAUUCUGCCAACCUCCCUCCCAUCACCCACCAGGUGAACGCCUGUGAGCAGCCUCAGGGCCAGAAGGAGCCUAGGAGUGGGGACUGAGGCUGCUCUGGGAGGCCAGGGCCCUGGCCCUUUGAGUGGAGGCCACCUCCCCGCCAUGCCCAGGGGUCACUUCCAGGAACAGCUUCUGCUCUGGGGUCUGCCGGUCCACUCGGUAUUUACAGAGAGACGCCCUUGUGGACUAGGCUUGGACACCCCGGCCCCUUGGCAGACCCUGGCAAACAGCUGUCACCGUGGGUCGGCAGCACGGGUCCUCGAGGGCCUACCCACGGAGCGCUGCACCUCAAAGGCAGACACCAGAGCCUGUUGUGCCACCCCCCAACCCCCGCCACCAGGCGUGCACACCAGCCUCCACCCUCCUGGAGCUGAACGAACGUUCUGUGGGGGCGAGAGCCAUAAACACACAACCGGCCCAUAGAUAGGACCUGUGAUUUCUCUCCAAGGCAAAUGGAGGAAGAAAACUACAGCCAAGUGGUUAGUCACUAUUAGCCCUGAGUUAUCUUCUGCUUUGACAUGUCUUCCAAGGAAGCGAAAGAUACUCUCAUCAACUGGAAUCACUUAUAGCUUCUAAAGGGAGACAGAGUGCCCUGCGACAAUUCCCUGGGCCUGCAGACAGAAUGGGAAGCGUGUCGCGACAGAGCCCGCUCCUCCAGCACUCAGCCCAGGCAGGUGGAGGCUGCUUUCUCCCUGGUGAGCUCUUCCUCGGGCAGGAGCGCAGCUCCCAUGCCACCUGGGAGUUUGCAGCAGUGUGGCCUGCCGCAAGGGACCCAGAGCAAGAGCACCCUGCAGGCGGGAAGGGGUCACGCUGCUGUGCUCACGGGCCGGACGGCAGCCGUGGAUGCCCCAGCAUCGGGGGCCCACCUGGGCCCUGCUUCCGAUGACCCCCCAGCCCCACUCUUCAGCUUCUGCAAACCUGCGAGUAAGGUGAGGGCGGUGGAAUCCAGCGAUGCGCAACCAACCCCAAUCUAGCAGCUGGGGACAUCGGCCCUCCCGGGACCCACAUCCUGCUCACUUGGGUGACAGAAAUUAGGCAGAGGAACGUUGCUUAAGUUCUCCUGGGGUUCUCAUUCCCCUUGUCAAAGUGUCAGAGACUACACCGAUAGCGUCUAGGGCCCUGAGAGAACUCCAAGGCGGUGCAAGGGACGGGUGGAGGCUCGUUCUUCACUCAACAAGCGCUGAACGAAGGCACAGCGCCAGGUGCUGAGAUACAGUGAUGACCAGGACAGACCAGUCCCCAUGGAAGUGACAUUCUCCGUGGAGGAGAAAGAUGAUGGCCAGAAAGAUCCCUCUGGAUGAAUGGAAGGGAAGGGACAAGACAGGAAGCUGGAGAAUACUGAGGAUGCUGCUGCCAUGAUGUAGGGAGAGAGGCUGGCGGCCGGGAGGGGGAGAAGAGAUCACAUUUUCGGUCCAGGCCAAGGCGGGAGGACAGCGAGGUCUCUCUCAAGGGCCCAGAGCAGCUGCCCUGGGGGCACAUCUGUGAGAACAUCCCUACCCCACGCCGAACCUGAGUGGCACUUCCAGGAGCUGUCAGGGGAGCGACACAGCCAAGGCAACCAACUCUACAGAAUCCGAAGCAACCUGAGAACUCUUAAGGAAUCCUCCAGACCCUGCAGCACGCAGAACCAUCUCUCAUUUCGCAGCUGGAAACAGGCCGCGCUACAGUCUCACGGCCUAAGACUGGUUUUAAGAAUGAAACAGUCACAGGCUGUGGGUGGCCGUGUGAACUGGUGCACUUUUUCCAAAGUGCAUGUUGGGACUACACAGAUCAAGACGAAAUAUCUCCCCUUUGACUCGGCAGGCCCACUGCUGGGAAUUUAACCCAUAGACACGCAGGAUUUACACAAUUAGACUAAAAUACCCCAAGGAUGUUCACUGUGACACUAGAAGAAGAAAACACUGAAAGUGACCCAAAUGUCCAUCAAUGCGAAACGUUAUAAAAGGUAUUUUUGGUCCAUCCAUACGAUAAAAUACCAUAGAACAGAGGCUACCGUGAAACAUUGACUUCUCAUUAAGUAAAAACAGCAAGGUACAGAUGGCAUGUAUGGUACAACCCCGGGUGUAAAAACAGACAAGCAAAAAUAUACAUAUGACAUACAAACAAGCAUUUCUGGAAGGAUAUGCAAGAAACUGUUAACAGGGGUUACUUCUGGGGCCUAGUAGACUUAUUUUUCAUUUUAUUGUGUCCUAUUUGGAUUUAGAUUAUAGUAUAUACAUUUCUAAAAUAAGUUAAUCAAGCCAAAGAAGGAAAACAGGAUGCAUGAUGAAGUGGAAGGCAAACGAGGACCCCGAUCUUGGUCAGGUUCUUCCGUCUGCAUUUGGUUCUUAAAUCGAUGGCUGCUUUUGAAAGCACUUUGCAACCUCUGCAGCUGAAGCUGGAAGCCCUGACCCAGGAGGGGGUAAGUUGCAGGGGGCAGCUGGGCCAGGCCUCUGAAGGUCUGUAAUCCAGAGCAGGGUUCUCUUCUGGGGAAUUUGGGUGCAUAUGGAUUUACUUAAAGCAGAUGUGUCAGAACAGGAAGGGAAGAGCCUGGCCAGCUGCCCUUCUGGAGAGGCAGCUCCUGCUGCUGCCAGACCGUCCUUGAACUUUCUAUUUGCAGUUCUCCUCUGGGGGAGGCUGGGCGGGGAGUCAGAGACAGCUCUGGUGAAAGUGGGAAAGUGGGCUCCCAGACAGGAGGGGCGGCCUGACAGCGGCCCGCGGGCAGGGGGCCCUCGUCUGCAGCCCCACUUCCAGGGAGCUGCAGCAGGAACCGCACCCGCUCUCUCUUUCUAGUCAUCCCACAUGCAGAAGGAAAUUACUCUCCCACAACCUCAUUACUAAUAAUCUAAGUAUUUCCAAGAAACCUCCAAGAAACUUCUUAGUCUUAAUUCUAAGAAGUUCUUCCACAUCCCCAACGAGUCUCUGGAAAACCAAACCCAGGAGGCGGAACACCAAGAGAAGGCCAAGACUUCCUUCUGGGGCUUGCGUUCAAUCUCGGGCUCUGCUUUGAUAAAUUCUAAGAACCCGGGGCUUCCAACGGACUGGAUUUCGGAGACAGAAAGGGACGCUUACGCAGGCUCAACAGAGAGAAAGCCCUGGGAACCCCCCAGGAGGGGGCAGGAGGGGGCGU